rnacentral:ncRNA from 4 species
UACGAAGGGGGCUAGCGUUGCUCGGAUUUACUGGGCGUAAAGGGCGCGUAGGCGGACAGUUAAGUUGGGGGUGAAAGCCCGGGGCUCAACCUCGGAAUUGCCUUCAAUACUGGCUGUCUUGAGUGUGAGAGAGGUGUGUGGAACUCCGAGUGUAGAGGUGAAAUUCGUAGAUAUUCGGAAGAACACCAGUGGCGAAGGCGACACACUGGCUCACUACUGACGCUGAGGCGCGAAAGCGUGGGGAGCAAACAGG